rnacentral:rRNA from 1 species
UACGGGGGGAGCAAGCGUUGUUCGGAUUUACUGGGCGUAAAGGGCGCGUAGGCGGUCAGCACAAGUCAGUUGUGAAAUCUCCGGGCUUAACUCGGAAAGGUCAACUGAUACUGUGCGACUAGAGUGCAGAAGGGGCAACUGGAAUUCUCGGUGUAGCGGUGAAAUGCGUAGAUAUCGAGAGGAACACCUGCGGCGAAGGCGGGUCUCUGGGCCGUAACUGACGCUGAGGAGCGAAAGCGUGGGGAGCGAACAGG